rnacentral:tRNA from 1 species
GAGGGUGUAGCUCAGUGGUAGAGUGCAUGCCUAGCACUCAUGGGGGCUUGGGAUCAAUCCUCAGUUCCUCCA